GGGAUGAGGAGAGACAAUGUGGCAUGGUGGUUAAGCACGUGGACUUGGAGCCAGACGGCCUGGGGCUGAAUCCUGGCUCCGCCUCUCACCAACUGUGACCUUGGGCAAGGAAGCUGGUUCAGUGGGGCUGUCGACCACAGGUACCAACCCUGCCCUCCCCUACAGAGUAUGUGACGUAGGCACAGCCAAUGACUGCAUCCCAGUGCUUCGACCAGUCACAGGGUCAAGGAAGUUCUGAGGGUACCCCUCACUCAAGCUCCAGGCGUCAGGAAAAGAACAUUCCACGAAGUCCAUCUGGAAGACGGUCCUUUCCCUGCUGCCCCCAGCUUCUAGAACAUUCCCUGGAACACAGCAAGUGUUCAGUAUUGUUCAUGGAGUGACAGAUGUCUCAGCCAAGAAGGCUCAGCUUAGGGACCGUCACCUCCAGGAAGCCUUCCCAACCUGCACUGAUCACUUCUUCUUCUUCUCUUUGGGAUUAUCACUUGUAUUGUAAUAAAAUCUUGUUUUUUUUCUUUAAAAAAUAUUAUUUGCAUUCAGCAAAAUUCACCCUUUUUGAUAUACAGUUCUGAGGUUUUUUUUAGUUCUAUAAGUUUUGUCAAAUAUGUAAAGUUGUAAUCUCCAACACAAUCAAA
rnacentral:lncRNA from 1 species